rnacentral:rRNA from 1 species
UUUAUUUGAGAGUUUGAUCCUGGCUCAGGAUGAACGCUGGCGGCGUGCCUAACACAUGCAAGUUGAGCGAUUUACUUCGGUAAAGAGCGGCGGACGGGUGAGUAACGCGUGGGUAACCUACCCUGUACACACGGAUAACAUACUGAAAGGUAUGCUAAUACGGGAUAAUAUAUUUGAGAGGCAUCUCUUGAAUAUCAAAGGUGAGCCAGUACAGGAUGGACCCGCGUCUGAUUAGCUAGUUGGUAAGGUAACGGCUUACCAAGGCGACGAUCAGUAGCCGAUCUGAGAGGGUGAUCGGCCACAUUGGAACUGAGACACGGUCCAAACUCCUACGGGAGGCAGCAGUGGGGAAUAUUGCACAAUGGGCGAAAGCCUGAUGCAGCAACGCCGCGUGAGUGAUGAAG